GCCAGUGACAUCUCAGUUUCACCAUGUCCCUUAUACAGAGAUGUCUCUUCAGCCUUCUAAUUCCCAUUUGUCUGGCGCAGACAUCCACCAUUAAUCAGUGGCCCAGAGCAAUCAUGAGAGAGUUAGGUUCCGUGGUACACAUGAACUGCACUCAGACAACAGAUCACAACUAUAUGUACUGGUAUCUACAGAGGAAUGGUCAAGGACUAGAGCUUAUAGCCUGGAGUCUAAUAGGCCAAACACCUGAGAAUGAGAAAGGGAUUGACAAAGACAAGUUCAUAAUGACCAGGACUGAGUCAGGGAAGACGACUCACCUGGAAAUCAAAUCCCUGGAGAACCAGGACAAAGGGAUCUAUUUCUGUGCUUCUAGUGAAGCACAGUGACUCAGGAGAGCCAGACGCCUUUCAAAUAACCUCACACUACAAGCUAGAGCAGUUUAUCUCUAAAAAUUAUCAGACACAGUUUAGUGGGUUUAGAAUGAAGAAACCUGUCCUCAAUUAACAACAUGUACACCAGAAAUACCUAUAUUUGCUCUUGAUCCAUACAGAAGUGUUUAUUCUAGACUUGUGCAAUUUGUUUAGUUCUGAAGCUCAUUUUGUCCGCAUUCGGUUUAAUUGGUUAAAUCUGGAAGUGGACAUAUUUCUGAAGUUACUAACACUGAAAGGAACCCAAAAUGACUGAAAUCAGAUCAAAUUUAAACAAAUUAUUUCAGAUCCAUUUGUUUUCAAAAGGAUAGCCAAUUAGGGACUUAUCUACUAAACUGCUUAAACAGCAAAAAUAAGAAAAAGGCAUUUUUCUUAAUUUUUUUUUAACGAAAAUAUAAGGGUUUUCCCUUGUUCCUAUCACUUCUUUCCGUGAUACAUUAUUCGGUUGAAGCUGUUAGUUUUCAUUCAUUUUUCGUGUUUUUUUUUCCU